ensembl:lncRNA
CUGCCGCGCGGGAGGCCGACUCCUUGGCCUCUGCUCCAGAGCAGUUUUGCUUCCUGGACAAGCCAUCUCACUCGUUUUUCUUUGAGUUUUGAUGACUAAAAUGAGGGAGACUGCAUUGGCCUAUGACUGAAAGGAACCAGGAAGCCUGAUAAAACUGGGCAUCUGAUUCUGAAGUCACCGAAGGCUCGUCUCCAGGAAGGAAUCUGUCAGUGUUCCUGUCACUUUCUGAUCUGAUUCUGGUCUAAACCUGGCCAGAGAGACUGGGCGAUCCGUAGAAGACCUGACGUUCUCUUUGCUCAAACGGUCGUCU